rnacentral:rRNA from 1 species
GUUUGAUCAUGGCUCAGAUUGAACGCUGGCGGCAGGCUUAACACAUGCAAGUCGAGCGGGGGAAGGUAGCUUGCUACUGGACCUAGCGGCGGACGGGUGAGUAAUGCUUAGGAAUCUGCCUAUUAGUGGGGGACAACAUCUCGAAAGGGAUGCUAAUACCGCAUACGUCCUACGGGAGAAAGCAGGGGAUCUUCGGACCUUGCGCUAAUAGAUGAGCCUAAGUCGGAUUAGCUAGUUGGUGGGGUAAAGGCCUACCAAGGCGACGAUCUGUAGCGGGUCUGAGAGGAUGAUCCGCCACACUGGGACUGAGACACGGCCCAGACUCCUACGGGAGGCAGCAGUGGGGAAUAUUGGACAAUGGGGGGAACCCUGAUCCAGCCAUGCCGCGUGUGUGAAGAAGGCCUUAUGGUUGUAAAGCACUUUAAGCGAGGAGGAGGCUACUUUAGUUAAUACCUAGAGAUAGUGGACGUUACUCGCAGAAUAAGCACCGGCUAACUCUGUGCCAGCAGCCGCGGUAAUACAGAGGGUGCGAGCGUUAAUCGGAUUUACUGGGCGUAAAGCGUGCGUAGGCGGCUUAUUAAGUCGGAUGUGAAAUCCCCGAGCUUAACUUGGGAAUUGCAUUCGAUACUGGUGAGCUAGAGUAUGGGAGAGGAUGGUAGAAUUCCAGGUGUAGCGGUGAAAUGCGUAGAGAUCUGGAGGAAUACCGAUGGCGAAGGCAGCCAUCUGGCCUAAUACUGACGCUGAGGUACGAAAGCAUGGGGAGCAAACAGGAUUAGAUACCCUGGUAGUCCAUGCCGUAAACGAUGUCUACUAGCCGUUGGGGCCUUUGAG